CUCGGCUCGGCUCGGUACGUUGAUGUUGAUGUGGGAAAUGUCACAUUGUGACAGUUGACGCCGACAAGUGCUUUGGCUCCAGCUCCAGCUCCGGCUACGGCUCUGGAUGUGGAUGUGGAUGUGGCUCGCCGGUCGUGACCCACCCCUUAGCCCACACUUGAUAAACAUUUGAUUAAUCACACGCACACAAUUACAUAUACAACUGCAGCUACAGAAACAGAUACAAAUACAAUUUUCACACUCUGGUAAAAGAUCAAAGCACUCUUCUGCCUUCGGCAAUGCAAUAACAGUCCGUCAAUUCGUCCAGACCGAGGCCCCAACUAGUCAGUGAGUGAAACUAUUCGCGCAUUAUGUCUAAAUAAACAAACAGAACAGCGACUGGCACUGCCUGAUCGAUUCCAAUCCAAGAGCAAGAGGAAGAGUUAAGGGAAAUCUAUGGAAAUCGUUUGCCAUCUUUCGAUAGUUGCUCGUGGCUGCGUGAAGACUUCGUUCUUCUGUUAGUAAGAUGUAUGGCGCUGUGUGUAUUUCAUGUGGGUGGAAAAUUUAUUUGAAAAACAAUUUUCAUGAAAAGUAUGCGCAUACAAAACUGACAGCUUUUGGCUUCAAGAAAAAUCAACAAACUGCUCGGGACUAUAAAUCGCAAUCUACUGACCCAAACAUAAUGUUGUUUGUAAAGAAACACAUGGGCGGGAUCUGGAUCUGGCCCAAACUGAAUGCUGAAUGGGCAUAAAUAAAUGUUAGUUGGUUUCGAAAGCCACUGGAACAGCAUAGUCUAGUGAAAUUAAAAUGCCAUUAUUGCAGCCUAGCUAAAUAAAUAAUUAAUAUGGGCCAACACAUUGACAAUGACUUGACUCUAUUGAUGUAAUAAAAUAGGGCAAUAUUGUCAUGUCUAAUCAAUUAGCUACAUUAGAUAUAAUAUAAUGAGAUUGAGCUGUAAAUAUUUUAAUAAUAAAAGAAUACUUUCUGCACAA